AGAAUCGGCACGGCGACGCGCGUCGAACGCGUAUUAUACCCGCAGACGAUAUAUUCCAUCGUGCACGCCUACGUGAUGUCAUGCGCGCGUCAGAAAUGCCGACCUUGCGGCUGCAGGCUCAAGUCAGUGCACGCGUAAUGCGAUGCAUUUGUAUUGGCCAAGCCUUUCGGCCGAUCCCACCAUUGGUCCGCGCUGAUAAGCAUACCUACGCUGCGCAACCUAUAUGCAUCGCCGAGCGCAUACGGUUCGCGUAUCUAAAAGUAAGUACGUGGGUAUACGUUGAAAGUAACCCGUAGAAAGAUCGUCGCCCUGGCGAGCCCGAGUUGGGUCCACGUAGUAACGAGCCGGGACCUCGAGGUCGAACAACGUUUCUUCAAAAUCAUCAUCAUCCUCCACCACCGAAGCUAUUGUCGCUUCGUCUUCGUAUAUGACGCGGCUUUGUCACGGAUUUAUCGGAUCGACUCACAAGUCCAUAGUUAAUCUUCGCAUACCUGGGAAAUAAUCGUGUGAGGUCGCGUGAAGUGCAUUAAACCGCGACGCGGCAUGAAACUCCGUAGUCGCGCAGGGUCGCCGAGCCGGCAAUAAAGACUAAUUGAGAUUAGCGCCGGCCGUGCUACGUUAAGCAGGUGCCCUAGGGAGAAAAAGAAAGCGGAGGAGCAACGACUGGCAAGAAAUAAGAGGAAGAAGAAGACGAGACAACGCGAAGAUGACACGUUCCAACUUCAAUAGGGAGGUGGGUGCACUCUUCCGACGGACAUUCGACACGGAACAUUGCUGGUUACGACUUAAUAUCUUACAUGAGAGUACGAGGGCUCAUCGACUACAUUCUAUCUGAAUUCUUGUACAAAGAAAUGUUUAAAAUAUUGUAACAAAUUAAUAAAAAUUCUUAAUUAAUUA